rnacentral:tRNA from 1 species
AUCAGAGUGGCGCAGCGGAAGCGUGGUGGGCCUAUAACCCACAGGUCCCUGGAUCGAAACCAGGCUCUGAUA